AAGACUGUACUCUUAGGGAUCAUUUCUAUAGUUUUUUCCUAGAGAGAUGGGUUCUUGAGUUUGUCGUCUCACCAACCAUGAGGAGGAUUUAUAGUGUUCUCUUCUGAGCAGGAAGUUGGUAGUGAGUGUUGCUCAUUGCCCUUGACGAUUGCUCCUUCUCUCUUGUGUGGAGAGUUGGAGGGAGAAAACAAAAAUAAACAGGAGGGU